AGCCGCUAGUUCUCGUCAAGCGCGCGGCCCCUCCGCCUCGUCUCCUCCCUACUCCCUCCUCUCACACGACGCCGCCCUCGAGCCCGCGCCGCCUCGACCUCGUCUCCUCCCCGCUCCCUCCUCUACAACGCAGCCGCCCUCGAUGCGCCGUAAGGAGCAGGGCAACGGAUUGGAUCGAGGGCGCCCUAGCCUCGCCGCCGCUACACCUGGAUUCGCUAGCCGCCGCGUCGAGUCACCUCCGUCGCCGCCGCGAGUCAGCUCCACCGUUGCCGCCAGGAAUCCCUUCCCGACAAGGAAAAUUCCUAGGGAUUUGAUUGAUGGAGGCAUCACUAUUUGGCGCUGGAUUAUCCAUUUUUGCAGCACCAGCAAUGUUGUUUUUGUUUGGAAUGGCCAGUUCUCAAUUUCUAAAUCGGCUAUACUAUACUUCUUGUCAGGUUACAUUAUCUUGCUUGGUUUCAGUCUAUAUGUAGCACAAAAAUAGGUGACAUGGUUGGUUUGUAUGUUACACUAAGGAACACCACCAUAAGGAUAAGGGCAUUGCACUUCUUUGUUUAUAUUUGGUCUGUUCCUAUUCGAUUUGCUGUAGUACUUAAUUGCUACACCAUUUCAAGUUUCUUACUGUUUGCUUCUUGCUGUUUCAUUGUAUUCAGUUAUGAUAUAUUUUUCAACUAUACAAGCACUUGGGGAAGUCGGGAAAACUGAACCAAAGACAAACACUUUUACUGGUGAUGUUGGGGCUUUUUUUUUAACUGAGAUGUGAAAGAUGCAUCUUAUCCCCUGAGAUAUAUUGCCUUUAAUCUCUUGAUUUUUUUCCCUGACAUGCUAAUAUAGAGCCAGAUAUGCAUGAUUCAUCAUACACAUUACAGCCAAUUAUCCAUUGGUUCUUUUGUCCAUAGAGGUGAUUUUGUUUGGACCAUUAGUCUAGGUAGUGACAUUUUGAUCGAUAAGGCACAAGUUUAUUUUCUUUUUCAUUCGGGCUACACUAAAGUAAGCAUAACCGUCAGUGAAAUGAAGGCAUACAAAUCAUGAAGUUUUUGCCUUGGCUGUGUGCCUCGUUUAGUUGUCACUUAUUUAUUUCUGGGAAGUUAUUCAAUUCUCAUUGAGCUUUCCUUAUGCUUUCCAUUGCUAAAGAAGAAAUUUAAAUACGCAAUAUUUUUAAUGUCUGAGGAGGCGAGAGGAGAUGAAAAAGGGCUGUAAGGUUGUACUUUGGUGCGUCUCUGGCCAAUGAUGGCUGGAUCCAUCUGACGCUCUUCCAAGCAGAGCAGUGCAGAUUUGCUGACUGAGCAGCGGAGGAACAUGUUUCUACAAAUGUGCCAAAACUGAUGGAUUUAACUAGAGGAUGGAGCAGCAGGCAUAGAUGAAAUCUACUGCCAAUUUCUAUUGGUUGCGGCAUCUUCCGCUGAGUAACUCAACAAAACAGCCUGCUAGCAUUGAUUCUUGCAAUAAAAAAAGUCUGGUAUGAAGACUUGAAGAGUGGUCAUAAUGUUACUCAAAGGAGGCCUCAACUUGCACCAAAUACAUGGGCAUGUGCAACAACAACUUAUGUAGUUAGGAGGCUGAAGGUAGUAGCUUACUGAACUCUCAUUUCCAGAAAAAUCUGGAGAUGUCUUGUUUGUACAAUCUCUAAAGAUGGUGCUCCAUUGUUCUGUUAAUCAAGAUUUGUUCCCUCCUUUCUUACUAGCUGAUACGUGAUGACCGUUUGCAUGGGGGGUUAUGUUAACUAUAUUCUAUUCAUGAUUCAAACUGUUUGUUGGGUAAUUUAGUUUAGACAUUGUGUCCUGAGAAUCUUGAUAUCUAGCUGUAUCGGUAUAGUAUAGUUUGUGAUUUUUCCCUCUGAAUUUAUAUGUCCACUCAGGUUGGGAUAGGUUAUGAGUAUUCUUAGUGUGGAAACAGCGGCAGUGCUGUACUUUCAUCAGAUGAUGAUACGCCAACCUUGCCCCAUUUGGCUCUAUGUUACCCCAAUAAGAUAACAAAAUACACAUGCUCAA